rnacentral:lncRNA from 1 species
AGCCCCGCUCAUGGCCCAUGUUAUCUCAAACAAAUCUCGAUUUGGUAAAAUAAUUCAGGCAGUCAUUGGCAUUUGAAGCGGCAGUGUUUCAAAUGCGCUGACCUGUGCUUUGAACACAAGAUUCUUCAUUUAUCUCUGAGACUGCAGCCUCACGCUGUCUUCCUUAAAAGCUGAAUUAUUUCAUCCAAAGUGGUCACUGGAAAUGAUUGAAGCAGCAGUCCCUGAGGGGGACCUGACAGUGGCCACACGGCCUCUUCCUAUGAGAUUUUACAGAACAACCACUGAAGACACCAAAACCGUUAUCAGGGCAUUCUUCUCCUCCCCGCUCCUAACUCCCAUCUCAGAAGGCCUGGACCAGUGAUGGGGGCACAGCACAGGGCCUGGAAUGCACACGCUUCUGAGUUCUCCAUCCGCUUCUCCUCAGUCUGGGGACCCUGAUCUCCCUGGAGGUGGGGUGGACUCUUCCAGCCCUGAGAGUUGUCUGCACGUGGUCCUUUCUAUUUCCCACAGGGUCCUGGCUCCAAGUCAGGAGGACUCCUUCUUUCAGCGUGGUCCACCCUUCCCUGGGUUAACAAACAUUUGGUUCAUUGAAUGGGGGGAAAGGCAAUGGAGAAAAGAAAAUCCUGGGGACAAAAGCCACCAGUCAAUAUUCCAAAGUAGCCUCCUGGCACAGUGCUGUGGAUACUGAGAAUCUAGGAAAUGUGGGUGUGAAGACAGCAGAUGAACCAGAACUGCCUGAUGUCCUUAGUAGAUAAAUAGGUGUAGCAGACAGAAAAAAAUCAUUUUGCCAGAGAGGAGAAAAACAAGUGUUGUUUCAUCUUCAGCAUUACACAGAGGAAUUUCUGGGGGAAAAUGUGAAGAUUUUGUGACUGUUGAGUAGCAAAGAGUAUGAGCCAUUUGUAAAUAUUAAGAAAAAUAAAACAUGUAUUUGUGCCUAAACGUAGCUAGCAAGAAAGUUAAUAAUCACCCACAUAUCUCCCCUUAGUUACCUAAUUAAUCUAAUUGCCUCCUACCAUUUUUUGACCUUUCUCUUCCCACAUAUCCCCAUUUAUUAUUUAUUACCUAAAUGGAGCAACACGGUCACCCCAAACAAAAAGCCUGCAGACAACCGAGAGAAGCCACAUGUUUGAGAAACACUCUCAUCACAUUUUCUUUGAAUCUGCAUUAUUAACAUACCUCCUUUUUUUAGAAUCUCAAACCCUGGGAGGCAAAUGUCAGAUGCAAGUGGAAGGCCAGUGACCUCAUGCUUUUCUGCAAAUACUGCUGGUUCUCCAGGGGCAGGAGGCCGACUCCAGAGGCCUCUUGCUUUUUGAUAAUCCCUCCG